GAAGGCAUGGAUGGGAAGUUUUUUGGAUGGCUGGGUUAUAUUCGCCGAGUAUGCAAGACCCAGGCCAUCACCUACCCCACCUGGGAACAACAUAGGUCCUGGAUAUGGGAGCAACACUGGUCCUGCAUAUGGGAGCAAUGCAGGCCCUGCAUAUGGGAAUGCUGCAAGUCCUGCGUAUCAGAACGACACGGGCCCUGCAUAUCAGAACAACACAGGUCCUGCAUAUGGGAGCAAUGCAAGCCCUGCAUAUGGGAAUGCCGCUGGUCCUGCAUAUGGGAGCAAUAUGGGUCCUGCAUACGGGAAUGUUGCGGGUCCUGCAUAUGGGAGCAAUCCAGGUCCUGAAUAUGGGAAUGCAACGGGUCCUGCAUAUGGUAAUACUACGGGUUCUGCAUAUGUGAGCCAUACGUCUCCUAAUGGGAGUACCACAGAGCCUGCAAAUGUGAGCAAAGUGGGUUUCGCAAACGGGAGCUAUAGCCGUGGUCCAACAUAUGGGAGCAACAUGGGCCCUGCAUAUGAGUCCAGUAAUGGUCCUGCAUAUGGUAAUACAACCACUCCCGCUUGUGGGAAUGCUUCGGGGCCUGUGUAUGGAAACAUGGAUCCUACUUACAGUAAUGAGUAUGGCCAUCGAUGAUCUAUAUGAAGUUAACAAGCUCAGCAUCUUACAAACUUUUUCUAGUCCGUGAAGAGUCUUUAUGAAUUCUUUAAUAUUGCUCUGGUUUUUCUUUCAAAGCUUGGCGAUUGCAAGCGUUGGAGUAACAUUACAAUGAGCGAAUUGAACUUAGAAGUAUGUGAAUUCAAAAUGUUGGAACAACACUCUUAUUAGCUAUUUUCAUAAAACAUGUUGUCUUACGAAGCAAGUUCUCCACGAACCAAGGAAAUCUGUCUGAAAACUGGACCAUUGAGAAGUUUGUUUGGGGUGUUAUUUGAAUUAUUCGAACAGAAAUUACAUCUGAGCUUCAAAAUAAGAGUUGU
rnacentral:misc_RNA from 1 species